UACGAAGGGGGCUAGCGUUGCUCGGAAUCACUGGGCGUAAAGCGCACGUAGGCGGAUUGUUAAGUCAGGGGUGAAAUCCUGGAGCUCAACUCCAGAACUGCCUUUGAUACUGGCGAUCUUGAGUCCGGGAGAGGUGAGUGGAACUGCGAGUGUAGAGGUGAAAUUCGUAGAUAUUCGCAAGAACACCAGUGGCGAAGGCGGCUCACUGGCCCGAUACUGACGCUGAGGCACGAAGGCGUGGGGAGCAAACAGGG
rnacentral:rRNA from 1 species